rnacentral:rRNA from 1 species
GACGAACGCUGGCGGCGUGCUUAACACAUGCAAGUCGAACGAUGAUGCCCAGCUUGCUGGGUGGAUUAGUGGCGAACGGGUGAGUAACACGUGAGUAACCUGCCCCUGACUCUGGGAUAAGCGUUGGAAACGACGUCUAAUACUGGAUAUGACUGCCGGCCGCAUGGUCUGGUGGUGGAAAGAUUUUUUGGUUGGGGAUGGACUCGCGGCCUAUCAGCUUGUUGGUGAGGUAAUGGCUCACCAAGGCGACGACGGGUAGCCGGCCUGAGAGGGUGACCGGCCACACUGGGACUGAGACACGGCCCAGACUCCUACGGGAGGCAGCAGUGGGGAAUAUUGCACAAUGGGCGAAAGCCUGAUGCAGCAACGCCGCGUGAGGGAUGACGGCCUUCGGGUUGUAAACCUCUUUUAGUAGGGAAGAAGCGAAAGUGACGGUACCUGCAGAAAAAGCACCGGCUAACUACGUGCCAGCAGCCGCGGUAAUACGUAGGGUGCAAGCGUUGUCCGGAAUUAUUGGGCGUAAAGAGCUCGUAGGCGGUCUGUCGCGUCUGCUGUGAAAUCCCGAGGCUCAACCUCGGGCUUGCAGUGGGUACGGGCAGACUAGAGUGCGGUAGGGGAGAUUGGAAUUCCUGGUGUAGCGGUGGAAUGCGCAGAUAUCAGGAGGAACACCGAUGGGCGAAGGCAGAUCUCUGGGCCGUAACUGACGCUGAGGAGCGAAAGCAUGGGGAGCGAACAGGAUUAGAUACCCUGGUAGUCCAUGCCGUAAACGUUGGGCGCUAGAUGUAGGGACCUUUCCACGGUUUCUGUGUCGUAGCUAACGCAUUAAGCGCCCCGCCUGGGGAGUACGGCCGCAAGGCUAAAACUCAAAGGAAUUGACGGGGGCCCGCACAAGCGGCGGAGCAUGCGGAUUAAUUCGAUGCAACGCGAAGAACCUUACCAAGGCUUGACAUACACCGGAAACGGCCAGAGAUGGUCGCCCCCUUGUGGUCGGUGUACAGGUGGUGCAUGGUUGUCGUCAGCUCGUGUCGUGAGAUGUUGGGUUAAGUCCCGCAACGAGCGCAACCCUCGUUCUAUGUUGCCAGCGCGUUAUGGCGGGGACUCAUAGGAGACUGCCGGGGUCAACUCGGAGGAAGGUGGGGAUGACGUCAAAUCAUCAUGCCCCUUAUGUCUUGGGCUUCACGCAUGCUACAAUAGCCGGUACAAAGGGCUGCGAUACCGUAAGGUGGAGCGAAUCCCAAAAAGCCGGUCUCAGUUCGGAUUGAGGUCUGCAACUCGACCUCAUGAAGUCGGAGUCGCUAGUAAUCGCAGAUCAGCAACGCUGCGGUGAAUACGUUCCCGGGCCU